rnacentral:lncRNA from 10 species
AAGUGCAGGGUGCCAAGCGGAGAGCCUGGAUCAUAUUUCACAUGUGCCGGUCCCAAAGGAAUUCCUUAACUCUCCCUUCCUGGAACCGAAAUGCUUCCAAAGGCAGAGAGCUCCUAUAUAUAUUUCUCUGUUUUCCCCGGAGGACCGUGCAUGAAAGGCGCCUUUUUGGCGCGUGUGUCUCUGACCCUGUGGAUCUUCUGGACAAUUCCCGGAAUUUCUUGCAGGGCAGCACUUCCCCUUAAGUCGUCUCUUUCUCGUUUGGAUAGUCAGUAUUUGUAUAGUCACUAUUCUCUUUUGGUUAGCCGUCUAAUUUUAUACUGCCAGUCAAGCUCUACUCCCUUCCCCCUAGAGUUUGAAUUUAUUUUUUUUCAAACGCUACACAAACCCAAAUAAACUCAACCAAAGCGGACUUUACCUACCUUCCUACCUACCUACCAAGAAAAUAUCCCACAAAGGAGAGAACGGAGAAGCUUGCAAUACAGGAAGAAAAAAAAAGAAUUACAGAAUGGAAGGGAUGUGUGCUCUAAAAAUGCAGGUACUCAAAGGAAAUUGGGCUGAUUUGUACUGGACACCGAAUUUGAGGAAUACAGGAUCUCAACCUUUCUUUGACUGGAUUACUUUUUUAUUCCAUUUUGGUGUGGACGCGUCUGAAACUGAUAGUGCUGCUGCUACCUACCAUAAUGUGUUUGUUGCAAGAUCCACAAGAACGUGGAUGCCAAGAAUCCACAAAAAAAAACAGAUGCAACCGUUGAUGAGGCCAUAAACAGAAACAAUGUGCUAGCAGAAUGUGCUAAUUAGUAAAUAUCUUCUGCCCUGAGAAGAGAGAUGACACAGCAAGAAGAAGGAUGCUAAGUCAUACUCAGUUAAGAUUCUGCUGCUAGGAGCCAGAGUCAUUCUUUCCUCAUUCCUGUGACCAUCUGCGAGAAACCAGAACUGUGUCUCCCUCCUGCACGAAUCACAGAGGGCAUCCCCAUACAGUAGCCUGGAGUGAUUCCCGCCCCACCCCCCACCCCCAUCCCCACACCGCCACCCUCACUUUUUUAAAAAGGGAAUCCAGGAAUCGUCCUGCUUCCUGUAAGGAUCAGAAAGAAGGGGCAAAAUAGCACUGCAGGUGGAACUCUGAUCCCUUCCCAGGCUCACAGAAGCUUUCAGGUAACUGGGGCUUCUCGGGAAAUUAAAAGAAAAUUAAUAAAAUGAACCACACUUACCACCUUUUACUUGUGACUAUCUCAUUUAAUUCUCCACUGAACUGCAUCGGUUUGGUACUUCUAUUCCCCUCAUGUUACAUAAAAGGAAUGCUAGGCACAUACAUUUUGAAUUACUUCCCAAUUUCACACUCCUAGAAGGUGGCAGAACUGCCUGGUCAGUCCUGGAGCAGGAACAGAGCGCACAAAAUACAAGAGAUCCUCAACCCGCCAAGACCAAAUUCUGCAAACUCGACAAAGGGUCACUCACCUGGGGCCCAACCCCAUCUUCCACUGCUAGCCACGGAUGCUCUUCUUGAAGACAAGGAGGGCCACCGCCAGGCUAAACGAAACAUUGCUGUCUCAGGCCUCACUCAACUUCCUGAAACGAAUGAUGACCUCACUUUCAUGGAGCAGAAGUGACUGUACUUACCCACAAUUCCUGUAUUAUAACCCCAGAAUCCCCAAUGAGAUAAUCGUCACAGCCACGCCCUCCUGUAGCGGAAGCCUGGCCGCCUACACAGAGCUCCAAGGUUACUGCUCCCAGAAUCCUCGCAAAGAAUUGGCAAUGUCGUUGCCUUUCUCUGGCGG